rnacentral:lncRNA from 1 species
CUAAGAAAUGUCAUUAGCUGAUGCAGAGGAAGCACCUCAGUAAAUACAUUGGGAUCCUUACCUGAUGCUCCUUACCACUGCUGACACAUACUGGCUACUUCAAGUUCAGUGCACAUACAUUAAUGAAUUCACAGUUGUUCGAGAUUGUUUGCCCAUUAGCUUCACUACCCCUCACUGCAGCAUUGAUGGUCUAUCCCGCCAAAACACAACACACAAUGUGUCAGCGAUCCUCCCUCCAGCCAAGGAUGGCUAGACACAGCUUGCCGUGGAGCCUGUCAACUCUGUGUAUCAGCCCCAGGGAAUCAAAUGAGAGCAGUGAAACGUGUUCUCUACCUCCAGUGUCUGUAGCCUCUGGCACCUACUGCAGAGGAGGUGUGGAGCCAAGCAUCCUCAGACCAGGGAAGACAUUCACCUUGCUGUCACCACAUCUUAGAUAUGUUUCACUCCAGGAGAAGAAAAGGCAGCAGAGACAACUCAGCAAGAAACCCUGUACAGAAAUGCUUGCCCCACAGAGUCCCUUAGGAGGACAGACUCCUCAGUCACACUGGGUUUUGUCACUCUCUGGCUCUAUGCCUUAUUCUCCCCUAGCCCUGUGCAGUGCCGUGCUUCCAGUAGGUGGCAGACGAUAGUUUGCAGGGCAUUUCAUCCUGAUUUUUCUGUACUACAGUGAAAGUCAAAACUCAGUUGUAACAGAGAACACUGCUUUCUACCCACACCUCCCACCUGAACAAAACUCUCUGCACCAGUGUUUGCUCUACUCCCACAUCACCUCCACACUCAUCUUCUCCACCGCUGGAGUGUGAAGCAUCCUCAGGAUGCCAGCAAGCCAUCUUCUUCGAGCACCCUUUUCUCUUCACAGAUGCUGUUUGCUAUUUGUCAUUCAAAACCACAAAAGCAGGCAGGGAGAUCAUCCUGGCUAACUGCACUCUGCCCCACUGGCUCUUGGCAUCUUUACUCUUGGCAAACAAUGAGAUGCUGACUGUGGUGGGGGGACGGGGCCCUGCUGCGGGAGUUAUACGGCAAUUAUAUCUAUGUCAGAAUAAUUCAGGCACACUUCAUUACUUCUGGUGCACCAUCGAUUUUACUGCAAUUAAAACCUGAAGCUUUCAGAAUUGGCUGAAAUGUCAAAUAUCAAUUAAAAAAAAAACCUCUAACAUUCACAAAAUGAAAAAUUUCUGGAGAUGUUUUAGCAAUGCUUCACUCCAUCCCAUUUUGAUAAUCAGCUCCAAUCAACUUCAAAUAUAAAUCUUCAUCUGAUAGUGUUAAAAUGUUGGCCAAAGUAGCUGGGAAUCAUGAACGCUUCAACCUUACUAGCUCAAUUCCUACAUGUUAGCCAAGGAGAAGUAGGUAUCCAGCUGCCAGUGCAGGCUCAAGGAUAACAUGGAAGUGUGAAAAACAUUGCUAUCAUAUGGGAGCCAACACAAGGUAAAAUUAAAAUAAAUAAUGGGAGAAGUCAGGCA